UACGGAGGGUGCAAGCGUUAUCCGGCUUUACUGGGUCUACAGGGUGCGUAGGCGGAUUUGUAAGUCCGAGGUGAAAUCUCCGAGCUUACCUCGGAAACUGCCUUGGAUACUAUAAGUCUUGAAUGACGUUGAGGUUAGCGGAAUAUGUCAUGUAGCGGUGAAAUGCUGAGAGAUGACAUAGAACAUCUAUUGCGAAGGCAGCUAACUAAGCGUAUAUUGACGCUGAUGCACGAAAGCGUGGGGAUCAAACAGG
rnacentral:rRNA from 1 species